rnacentral:rRNA from 1 species
GGGGAUGGGGCGCGGAUGGACCUGCGGUGCAUUAGUUGGUUGGCGGGGUAAAGGCCCACCAAGACGAUGAUGCAUAGCCGGCCUGAGAGGGCGGACGGCCACAUUGGGACUGAGACACGGCCCAGACUCCUGCGGGAGGCAGCAGUAGGGAAUUUUCGUCAAUGGGCGCAAGCCUGAACGAGCGAUGCCGCGUGAGUGAAGAAGGCCUUCGGGUCGUAAAGCUCUGUUGCGGGGGAAAAAAGGCAGCAUCAGGAAAUGGGUGCUGACUGAUGGUGCCCCGCCAGAAAGUCACGGCUAACUACGUGCCAGCAGCCGCGGUAAUACGUAGGUGGCGAGCGUUAUCCGGAAUGAUUGGGCGUAAAGGGUGCGCAGGCGGUCCUGCAAGUCUGGAGUGAAACGCAUGAGCUCAACUCAUGCAUGGCUUUGGAAACUGGAGGACUGGAGAGCAGGAGAGGGCGGUGGAACUCCAUGUGUAGCGGUAAAAUGCGUAGAUAUAUGGAAGAACACCAGUGGCGAAGGCGGCCGCCUGGCCUGUUGCUGACGCUGAGGCACGAAAGCGUGGGGAGCAAAUAGGAUUAGAUACCCUAGUAGUCCACGCCGUAAACGAUGAGGACCAAGUGUUGGGGGUGAAACCUCAGUGCUGAAGUUAACGCAGUGAGUCCUCCGCCUGGGGAGUAUGCACGCAAGUGUGAAACUCAAAGGAAUUGACGGGGGCCCGCACAAGCGGUGGAGUAUGUGGUUUAAUUCGAAGCAACGCGAAGAACCUUACCAGGCCUUGACAUGGGAUGCGAAGAUGCAGAGAUGCAUCGGAGGUCAACAUCCACACAGGUGGUGCAUGGUUGUCGUCAGCUCGUGUCGUGAGAUGUUGGGUCAAGUCCCGCAACGAGCGCAACCCUUGUGGCAUGUUGCUAACAGGAAAAGCUGAGGACUCAUGCCAGACUGCCGGUGACAAACCGGAGGAAGGCGGGGAUGACGUCAAAUCAUCAUGCCCCUUAUGGCCUGGGCUACACACGUACUACAAUGGCGGCUACAAAGAGCAGCGAGACAGGGAUGUCGAGCGAAUCUCAUAAAAGCCGUCCCAGUUCGGAUUGGAGGCUGCAACCCGCCUCCAUGAAGUUGGAAUCGCUAGUAAUCGCGGAUCAGCAUGCCGCGGUGAAUACGUUCCCGGGCCUU